rnacentral:rRNA from 1 species
AGCGAACGCUGGCGGCAGGCCUAACACAUGCAAGUCGAACGAACUCUUCGGAGUUAGUGGCGGACGGGUGAGUAACACGUGGGAACGUGCCUUUUGGUUCGGAAUAACUCAGGGAAACUUGUGCUAAUACCGAAUGUGCCCUUCGGGGGAAAGAUUUAUCGCCAUUAGAGCGGCCCGCGUCUGAUUAGCUAGUUGGUUAGGUAACGGCUCACCAAGGCGACGAUCAGUAGCUGGUCUGAGAGGAUGACCAGCCACACUGGGACUGAGACACGGCCCAGACUCCUACGGGAAGCAGCAGUGGGGAAUCUUGCGCAAUGGGCGAAAGCCUGACGCAGCCAUGCCGCGUGAAUGAUGAAGGUCUUAGGAUUGUAAAAUUCUUUCACCGGGGACGAUAAUGACGGUACCCGGAGAAGAAGCCCCGGCUAACUUCGUG